rnacentral:piRNA from 1 species
UGCUACAAUUUCCCUAAGAAACCCUAGAAUUU